AAUGCUGACAUAAGUAACGAUAAAGCGGGUGAAAAGCCCGCUCGCCGGAAGACCAAGGGUUCCUGUCCAACGUUAAUCGGGGCAGGGUGAGUCGACCCCUAAGGCGAGGCCGAAAGGCGUAGUCGAUGGGAAACGGGUUAAUAUUCCCGUACUUGGUGUUACUGCGAAGGGGGGACGGAGAAGGCUAUGUUGGCCGGGCGACGGUUGUCCCGGUUUAAGCGUGUAGGUGUGUGUUCCAGGUAAAUCCGGUUCACUUUAACACUGAGGCGUGACGACGAGGCACUACGGUGCUGAAGCAACAAAUGCCCUGCUUCCAGGAAAAGCCUCUAAGCAUCAGGUAACAUCAAAUCGUACCCCAAACCGACACAGGUGGUCAGGUAGAGAAUACCAAGGCGCUUGAGAGAACUCGGGUGAAGGAACUAGGCAAAAUGGUGCCGUAACUUCGGGAGAAGGCACGCUGACAUGUAGGUGAAGUGAUUUACUCAUGGAGCUGAAGUCAGUCGAAGAUACCAGCUGGCUGCAACUGUUUAUUAAAAACACAGCACUGUGCAAACACGAAAGUGGACGUAUACGGUGUGACGCCUGCCCGGUGCCGGAA
rnacentral:rRNA from 1 species